CGAAAGCAGCCUCACUGGCUGCCCCAGGAGCAUUUGUUAUUAUUUUCAUUUUUGAGGAAAUUAGAAUCCAGCAUAGUGGUUUAAAAAAAUAUUCUGCUGCUCUAUUGCGUGAAAUGAUGUUCGAUGACGGCAGAUGGGAAAAACAGUGCUUAUUGUUUGAAGUAACAUAUCGCAAACGGACGUGGCAGUUUGACCGCUAUGGAUUCCAGCUUUAAGCAAAUAAGUAUGAGCUAUUUUCUAGGGCAAAUAAUGAUGAUCUAUUUAAUGACUUUACAUUGGGAUUAAGACAUCCCCCAUGAUGGGGAUUCCAUCCAGAGGUUGUUAUGUGGGUUGAGUUUAUGUUCAGCUACGAGCCCAUAUGGACCGCGGUCUGGUUUAGCUGCUGCGCACACCACACGCUGCACAUGCAGCCAGUGUCUGGUGACCGGAGGAGAUCAGCGGGACAAUCAAUGGAGAGGAACAGCAUAAUCAAUCUGAGAUUGGCUUGUCUGUCUCUACACUUGGUUUAUAUCACAAUAAGGAGGUGCUGGACCAUUAAUGUCUUCAUCUACAUGUCUGCAUCUCUCGAACCACAAGACAGAGAGAACUGUGUCAACGUGUGGAAAUGCCAAGCACUAUCACAAGCACCCAAACAAGAACUCAACGUCAAAUCAAAUUCACAGGUGCUGAAACAACUUCAUCCUCCAUGGCUUUGGUGGAUGUUUUUCUCCUUGGCAGUGUGAAACAGGAUGUCAAAUACACACAGCAAUCACUGAUUCUCAAAGAAUCGGACACCAAAAAAAAAGACGUGUUUUAUGAGGCUGUGCGAUCGAUAAAAUGGAAUGAAAGAAGCAGAGAAGUGGAUAUGGACCAGACGACCUGACCCUCUGGAUAGGGACCAGACCACCUGACCCUCUCCUCUCCCCUUAGUUCUUGCUCUCUCUCGAUCCUUCCAGGGUAAUGCCCUGGACAAAAGAUUAGAUGAAAGCAGGACAAGUGUUAACCUAUGGGUUGAGGGGUUGAGGGGACAAAAUGCAAAACGAAGCAUAAAGCAUAUUACAUUUACACAGAUAUCCUCAAUUAGCCUUAAAUGGACAGAGAAUUCUGCCUCGGAAAUCACCAUUAGUCUAUCCAGAGAAUCGGAUGUGACCUGUUUAAGUAUACUUAAAAAGAUGAAUGCUCUGUGAAAAGGGACCAUGGUAAAAGGAGUGGACCCUUCAUCGAUUGACAAAACCAUAACGUUUUCAUUUUAAAAUAGCCACAGCUUAUCUGUCAAAAUGAUCCAUAAUACUAAAUGCUGACACCAUUCUACAGAAUAUCCUGUAUUGAUUUUAGGAUCCAUCUUUCUGCAUUAUAACCCACCAUAGACACACUAAAGUGCACCUCUUGAACAGCAUAUUUACCAUUAUUUGAUUGAUGCCUCAUCAUUGAAAGGGGCCAUGGGGACAUAAGAGUUAUUGUAUGGGGUUAAACUUGUUUCAUUGGUAAUGAAGUGUGGGUUGAACCUGGAAGGGCUGAGAAAGUCUCUUUGUGUUAUUACAUCACACUGUUUAUUUGCCUAGCAGGACUCUUUCCCAUUCUGACCUGCAUAGCUUACAUUUCACACAUAACCCAUUUAUACAGCUGCAGCAGAGUGCCUUGGAGGGCCACAGAGCUGGACACUCACUCCCAACAGCUGAGGGAGUUUGUGUACAGAUUUAUAUGGUUCAAACCCACACUUUACAUCAUGUGAGAAGUGGCUCAUAUACAUCAAGUUGCGUUUUCUUGUAUGGUCUAAAUGCAUGUUUAACAACAGAAUUUGUGUCACAUUAGCUAUUGAGUAUUAUCUAAAUUGUUCAAUUGUGUUUUUUUUCCUCGAAAGACGAUCAAACACAGCUCCUAAAACGACAAUAUUCACUUUUUUAAUAAUAUAGAAUCAUUCAAAUAUCGGUAGAAAUAUACACAUAUUUAGAUUUCCAGGCACUGAAGUGCAUGAUCCCUUGCCUCCCUCAAGUCCUGAGGCUAUUUUCAAGUCAUCAGAUUCAGUUGAAAAGAUAUCCCAAGGGGGAGGAAAGAUUUCAAUUUACUUAGAUAGCAGCUCUGUGCUUCCCUCUCAAUAAAUACCUGAGGAUUGGAUUGGACACACUUAAAGUCAUUGGCUGUAAAUGAGAGAGACUGUGAGGUCACCAGACUUUAUAGACCCAUUAUAAUCUGCCUGAGAGUGACCCGGUGAAGAAAUUGCUUAGAACAUGUGAAGUAUUGCUUUGUGGGGACUGUGGAUUGCUUUGCUUUUAACACUCCUGUCGUCGUUCCCCGCAAACAUAUACAGCAAACUGAAUUAUUUAAGGUCAUUGUCACAUUAAUUAUCGCACUGUGGGUCCAAUGUAUUGAACCAGCCUAAACACCUCUCUGGUCUGGGUAGCUCUGAAUGACCAAUUGAUAGAUUGAUUGCUCCAUCUAUACAGCUCCUAACUAUGCUGAUGUUCUGCCGUGUUCUACAUGUUGCUGAUUGGCAGCUUUGAGUAUUUCUGUGGUACAAAAACCAAUGAAAUGUCUCUGAUUCUCAUGAGUCAGCGUGUCACAGUUGCAGAUCAUUCCAGGAGAUCCAUGCUGUUUGCAACACGGUUUGAAGUUUUGGUCUGUCUAUUGAUCAAUAAGUCAACAGCACCACUCCAAUAACUCUGGAAAGCUCAUUCUGCAUUUAAUUCUUAGUACUAAUUGCUUUGUGUCCCACUGUGCCUUUAUUAUGGACCUACUGUAUUUUAAUAGAGAAUAGAGGUAACUUAAAGUUAGAUUAUGUGUAUGUGUGUGUGUGUGUGUGUGUGUGUGCGUGCGUGCGUGCGUGCAUGCGUGCGUGUGUUUUCCCUGAGUCUUGGGUCUUCUGGAAGGAAAAUGGAUUGAUCCUUAAGUAUGUAAUUCUAUAAUGGUUUACUUUAAGAAUGUCUGGCUGGCCUGCUUCUGCUUCUCCCUAUGCCAUUAUCAUUAUAAUUUGUUUAUCAUUAUAUUAUAAAUUCCUCAUCUGUCCUUAAGUUGGUAUGGAAAUCAAAUGACCAAUUCUAUAAAUACAGCCCCUGCCUCAUAUACUUUCAUUGCACUCCUUAUUCCAUGUGACGUAUACUCUAUUUCUUACUGAAUUCAGGAAUUAAGUAGAAAGCAAUGAAGCAGCCCUCCAUUAAACAUAAAUAAAUAUAAAAUGAUCUGUCCAUUGAAAGACGACACGGGCUGUAAUUAAAUACAGAAACAUUCCACAGAGACCUCUUUCACUCGCAAGACCAACAGACCAAUGUGCUGUGUUGUUUCUUUUUUCAUUCACAUUCUAUAUUUAGCUUAUUUUGUAAAGAUCUUAAGUUUAUAAGACAA
rnacentral:lncRNA from 13 species